rnacentral:rRNA from 1 species
CCUACGGGAGGCAGCAGUGGGGAAUCUUGGACAAUGGGGGAAACCCUGAUCCAGCAAUGCCGCGUGUGGGAUGAAGGCCCUCGGGUUGUAAACCACUUUUGGCAGGAAAGAAAUCGCCUGUGCUAAUACCAUGGGCGGAUGACGGUACCUGCAGAAUAAGCACCGGCUAACUACGUGCCAGCAGCCGCGGUAAUACGUAGGGUGCGAGCGUUAAUCGGAAUUACUGGGCGUAAAGCGUGCGCAGGCGGUUUUGUAAGACAGAUGUGAAAUCCCCGGGCUUAACCUGGGAACUGCAUUUGUGACUGCAAGACUAGAGUGUGUCAGAGGGAGGUGGAAUUCCGCGUGUAGCAGUGAAAUGCGUAGAAAUGCGGAAGAACACCGAUGGCGAAGGCAGCCUCCUGGGAUAACACUGACGCUCAGGCACGAAAGCGUGGGGAGCAAACAGGAUUAGAUACCCUGGUAGUCCACGCCCUAAACGAUGUCAACUAGUUGUUGGGGAUUCAUUUCCUUAGUAACGUAGCUAACGCGUGAAGUUGACCGCCUGGGGAGUACGGCCGCAAGGUUAAAACUCAAAGGAAUUGACGG